rnacentral:rRNA from 1 species
ACGGGUGCGUAACGCGUGGGAAUCUGCCCUCAGGUACGGAAUAACUCAGGGAAACUUGAGCUAAUACCGUAUAAUGACUUCGGUCCAAAGAUUUAUCGCCUGAGGAUGAGCCCGCGUCGGAUUAGCUAGUUGGUGGGGUAAAGGCCUACCAAGGCUACGAUCCGUAGCUGGUCUGAGAGGAUGAUCAGCCACACUGGGACUGAGACACGGCCCAGACUCCUACGGGAGGCAGCAGUGGGGAAUAUUGGACAAUGGGCGAAAGCCUGAUCCAGCAAUGCCGCGUGAGUGAUGAAGGCCUUAGGGUUGUAAAGCUCUUUUACCCGGGAUGAUAAUGACAGUACCGGGAGAAUAAGCCCCGGCUAACUCCGUGCCAGCAGCCGCGGUAAUACGGAGGGGGCUAGCGUUGUUCGGAAUUACUGGGCGUAAAGCGCACGUAGGCGGCUUUGUAAGUUAGAGGUGAAAGCCCGGGGCUCAACUCCGGAAUUGCCUUUAAGACUGCAUCGCUAGAAUUGUGGAGAGGUAAGUGGAAUUCCGAGUGUAGAGGUGAAAUUCGUAGA